rnacentral:rRNA from 1 species
ACGAACGCUGGCGGCGUGGAUAAGACAUGCAAGUCGAACGGGAGAAUUGCUAGCUUGCUAAUAAUUCUCUAGUGGCGCACGGGUGAGUAACACGUGAGUAACCUGCCUCUUAGUGGGGGAUAGCCCUGGGAAACCGGGAUUAAUACCGCAUACGAUUGAAAGAUCAAAGCAGCAAUGCGCUAGGAGAUGGGCUCGCGGCCUAUUAGUUAGUUGGUGAGGUAACGGCUCACCAAGGCGAUGACGGGUAGCCGGUCUGAGAGGAUGUCCGGCCACACUGGAACUGAGACACGGUCCAGGCACCUACGGGUGGCAGCAGUCGAGAAUCAUUCACAAUGGGGGCAACCCUGAUGGUGCGACGCCGCGUGGGGGAAUGAAGGUCUUCGGAUUGUAAACCCCUGUCAUGUGGGAGCAAAUUAAAAAGAUAGUACCACAAGAGGAAGAGACGGCUAACUCUGUGCCAGCAGCCGCGGUAAUACAGAGGUCUCAAGCGUUGUUCGGAAUCACUGGGCGUAAAGCGUGCGUAGGCUGUUUCGUAAGUCGUGUGUGAAAGGCAGGGGCUCAACCCCUGGAUUGCACAUGAUACUGCGAGACUAGAGUAAUGGAGGGGGAACCGGAAUUCUCGGUGUAGCAGUGAAAUGCGUAGAUAUCGAGAGGAACACUCGUGGCGAAGGCGGGUUCCUGGACAUUAACUGACGCUGAGGCACGAAGGCCAGGGGAGCGAAAGGGAUUAGAUACCCCUGUAGUCCUGGCAGUAAACGGUGCACGCUUGGUGUGCGGGGAAUCGACCCCCUGCGUGCCGGAGCUAACGCGUUAAGCGUGCCGCCUGGGGAGUACGGUCGCAAGAUUAAAACUCAAAGAAAUUGACGGGGACCCGCACAAGCGGUGGAGUAUGUGGCUUAAUUCGAUGCAACGCGAAGAACCUUACCUGGGCUUGACAUGUAAUGAACAACAUGUGAAAGCAUGCGACUCUUCGGAGGCGUUACACAGGUGCUGCAUGGCCGUCGUCAGCUCGUGUCGUGAGAUGUUUGGUUAAGUCCAGCAACGAGCGCAACCCCUGUUGCCAGUUACCAGCACGUCAAGGUGGGGACUCUGGCGAGACUGCCCAGAUCAACUGGGAGGAAGGUGGGGACAACGUCAGGUCAGUAUGGCCCUUAUGCCCAGGGCUGCACACGUACUACAAUGCCCAGUACAGAGGGGGCCGAAGCCGCGAGGCGGAGGAAAUCCUGAAAACUGGGCCCAGUUCGGACUGUAGGCUGCAACCCGCCUACACGAAGCCGGAAUCGCUAGUAAUGGCGCAUCAGCUACGGCGCCGUGAAUACGUUCCCGGGUCUUGUACACACCGCCCGUCACAUCAUGGAAGCCGGUCGCACCCGAAGUAUCUGAAGCCAACCGCAAGGAGGCAGGGUCCUAAGGUGAGACUGGUAACUGGGAUG